CAUAGAUAGUUCUUUUCGACGAGAUUGUUUACUCGACAACUUGUCGCAUCUCGGAGAUUUCGCAUCGAACGAAUAUCUUUUGGACAAUGGCUCUGGCCCCCUAUUUUUUUAAAUGGUUAUUUUAGACCGGAAGAAGUUAGCGCGGAAUUUUUUAAAUUUUAAUAAAACUCCGCCAAUUAAUUGCUCUUUCAAAAGCUGCGAUUGCUCCACAACCAUAAUAAGGAGUUUUUUCAGCAACAAGUUAAAAUUUGGUCACUUGGGUACACAUUCUAACUUCUUACCUCAUCAUCAUCAUCAUCAUCAUCAUCAUCAUCGAAGCAAAGUAUAUUUUUUGAGUUGAAUAAAUUUGAAGACACAUUUUUUUAUUGCUUGGACGUAAUUAAAAUCGUCGAGAAUUCUGUAACGAUCUUCGCGAUAAUGAACAAGAUCAUCGAGAAACCGCAUACUGCUUUCGUUAUGAAGUUUCGUUAGCACUGGAGGCAGAGGAGUUAUUCCAGC